UGGGGAAUAUUGCACAAUGGGGGAAACCCUGAUGCAGCGACGCCGCGUGAGCGAAGAAGGUUUUCGAAUCGUAAAGCUCUGUCCUAUGGGAAGAUAAUGACGGUACCAUAGGAGGAAGCCCCGGCUAACUACGUGCCAGCAGCCGCGGUAAUACGUAGGGGGCAAGCGUUGUCCGGAAUCACUGGGCGUAAAGGGUUCGCAGGCGGAAAUGCAAGUCAGUUGUGAAAGGCAGAGGCUCAACCUCUGUAAGCAAUUGAAACUGUAUUUCUUGAGAUGUGGAGAGGCAAGUGGAAUUCCUAGUGUAGCGGUGAAAUUCGUAGAUAUUAGGAAGAAUACCGGUGGCGAAGGCGACUUGCUGGACACAAACUGACGCUGAGGAACGAAAGCGUGGGUAGCAAACAGG
rnacentral:rRNA from 1 species